CCAUCUGGAUGGAUGAUCUGAAGGUAAGCUAUAUCUCUUAACAAGAGAUAAGCAUAUAUACCUUGAUUAAUGGUUUAUCACUCCCCUGCAAGCUGAGUGGUCUAGGAAGAACAGAAAGCUUGGAGACAAGAAAAUGAAACCGGGAAUUGAAGAGGAUAAUCCUUUCGUAAAAAUAUCAUCAGCUACGUACCUGAUCUGUAGUAGAGACAAAGGACAAGAUAGUCUUUUGGUGUUGCUAUAUUUGCUUUUAAUUAAGUUCUAUUUCAUCAUUUCAUGAGCAAAGCCAAACAAACUGAUAAUCAGAGUUCAAACAAACUGAUCGAUCAGCUUUUCUUGUUGGGUUGUAAGGUAUGAUGCACUUGAUAAAUUCUUGGUUCUUGCUUGGCUUUGUGGAAUUCUGCUAAAGUUUGUGUCUUUUUGGUUGGUUCUGGGUUUUGAUGGCUUUGGCGUUGAUAUGGCUUUAAAGGUCUUGUUUUUAUGAGCUUUUGGGGAAACCCAUGUGGGUUUUUAGUUGUUGUCCUAAUUACUGACUCACUGUUCUCGUUUUGAUGAUGGAGCUUAGUAUAGGAUUUUGGAUUAUUGUUCAAAAUGUUGAUGAUGAUUUGAAGAUAUGUGCUGAAUUUUCGUUUUUGAUGCAAAUAAGAUUAUGUCUCUGACUUGUGUUUGGCUGUGUACAUAAGAAGAAUCAGAGCAUUUUGAGUUUUCUUUUCUUCUUUUUUUUUCACAAGGAGUGAUGAAGUUGAUGAGUGCGUGUAUCUCAUAUCCCAAGUAAUAUUUGUUAUGGUAUGAAAUGGUGGACAUGCUAAUCCUCCUAGAGUUGUAUGAUUAAAGUUCAGCAAAUGAACUAAGUGCUUUACUAACCAGUAAAUAACAAGAUUACAUUGUCAUUCACAUUGCUUUAGUAUUGAUAGAACUGAGUACAUUGUCAUUCACAUUGCUUUAGUAUUGAUAGAACUUACAUUCUAACGUCAUUUUCUAUAACGAAAGCUAAAGGCCUAAAGCUAACCUUUCAAUCCACGUUGAUAGGAACUAUUGUGGUUUUUAGAUUGUUAAUUGAAUGCUGCAAUUUCCCCACUCCAUUAUCAAUUAGCAUGAAGCAGAUAGUUCAGCUUGUCAUGGUAGUUCCUGGAAUGGUAUGGUAGUAGAAACAGAUUGUUUGGAGGCUGUGAGGGUGGUAAAUGGAAGUGAUGAAUGUCUUGCAUGUGAGGGUGUCCCGGAGGAGCGAAUCAGGGAGAUUUUGGCCGCUUUGGAUAUUCACCAUAUUCAUCAUGCUCCAAGGGCGGCUAACAAGGCGGCUCAUACUGUUGCAGGAGUUGUAGCCCAGGGUAAUGGGAGGAGUAGUUGGUUAGGGGUUGGGCCUCUUUGGCUCAUGGAUGUCAUUGUUAAUGACGGACCCAUAACUGGUUCAAUUUCUAGGAAGGAGAGUGGGAAGUUCAUGUCCACCGCCGCUCAUUCCCAUGUUUUGUAAUAUUGAUAAUCUUUGGCGUUUUUGGCCUGCAAGAUGUUCUCAUUGCUUUAAUAUCAGAAGACGCCAAGGAGUGGUUUAUAAAGCUGAUCUGGUUGUCAUUGGAAUCUUUGUUGGUGUAGCCCAUGGAAUUUUGAUAGCUGCACUCAUAUUUUUCGGAAUAAAGAAUUGGCUUAGGCACAAGCAUCGACUUUAGUGUAUCUCUUUCAACUAGCAUACCUAUUCAAGGAUCUGAGAAGGUUCAAAAAAGUUUGGAACUCUCCUAGUGGAAUAAUCACAACAAAGAUGGAUUUCCUUCUGCAUCAGGUGUACUUAGAUACUCUUACAAGGAUGUACAGAAAGCUACACAGAACUUCACAACCAUUUGGGGACAAGGGGUUUUUGGUCCAGUCUAUAAAGCAACAAUGCCUGCUGGAAAGGUAGUAGGCUGAAGGUGCUUGCUUCAAAUUCCAAGCAGGGAGAGAGAGUUCCAGACAGAGGUAUCUCUGUUAGGAAGACUGCAUCAUUGAAAUCUAGUGAACCUCAUAGGUUACUGUGUAGAUAAAGGGCAGUGUAUGUUAAUCUAGGGAGGUUCUGCAGGUAUCACUACAAUGUUUUGGAUGUGAGAGUGGACCGGCACAUUGACAAAGGAAAGGAAGAUGGUUUGUAUAUUAGCUGUGUCGCCUCAUCUGCGAAUAUGUGGGCUAUAGUCAUGGAUGCAGGGACAGGUUUCACAUCCCAACUUUAUGAACUAUUCACCUGUUUACUUGCAGGAGGAGUGGAUAAUGGAACAGUGGGACAAGAACUACCAUAUCACUUCACUUGCUGGCGCAGGCAAUGGCAGUGCCCUGGUGGUAAUGUCCAAAUGUAUGUCAAACAAAUUAACAGAGCUUCAUGUUGUCCGUGGAAGUUUGGCUAUAGGAAUCUGGUCGGUCCUUGAUGAUAAUGACUUGGUCUUAUUUUUUUUUCUUCCAUAGGGAUCCGUGUAGUACAUUUUCUCUUGUUUGAGCUACUCUUUUUUAUUGCUAUUCUUCUAUUUGUCACCCAUUGAAGGCCUACCAUAUACUCAGCAGUUGUACAAAGUCAGUGAUGUAUUCCCUUUCAAAUGGAAUAAUAAGAAAUGGAAAGAAUUUUUCUCUGUUACCUCCAUGACUACUGCAGGUAGCAGAUGGGGCAUUGUCAUGUCCUGAAAUGCAGGUUAUUCUAAUCAGGUUGUUGAGAUUGAUUUCCCAUAUCCAAGCGAAGGCAUCCAUAAAAGAUGGGAGAAUGGAUAUCGCAUUUACCUCAACUGCUGCGACAGAGGAUUAAGUAAUUGAAAUUUGAACUUGACUAAGUAGUUGAACGUGAAACCUAAGAUGUGAAAUAAUUGAAAUUGGAACUCAAGCUUAAAGCUGUAAUUGUUCGUUCAACAACUCGUUUACAGUUAUUUUAGCAUUGAAAAUUGUUUUGCUUGUGAGAAUACAAAAUAAAAUGAAGGUUUCUGGUGCUUA